GCUCUGCUGAAGAUUCCCACAAUAGGAUGAAACGGCCGUCCAGUGC
rnacentral:hammerhead_ribozyme from 1 species